rnacentral:rRNA from 1 species
ACUCCUACGGGUGGCGGCAGUGGGGAAUAUUGCACAAUGGGCGCAAGCCUGAUGCAGCGACGCCGCGUGGGGGAUGACGGCCUUCGGGUUGUAAACUCCUUUCGCCAGGGACGAAGCGUUUUGUGACGGUACCUGGAGAAGAAGCACCGGCUAACUACGUGCCAGCAGCCGCGGUAAUACGUAGGGUGCAAGCGUUGUCCGGAAUUACUGGGCGUAAAGAGCUCGUAGGUGGUUUGUCACGUCGUCUGUGAAAUUCCACAGCUUAACUGUGGGCGUGCAGGCGAUACGGGCUGACUUGAGUACUGUAGGGGUAACUGGAAUUCCUGGUGUAGCGGUGAAAUGCGCAGAUAUCAGGAGGAACACCGAUGGCGAAGGCAGGUUACUGGGCAGUUACUGACGCUGAGGAGCGAAAGCAUGGGUAGCAAACAGGAUUGGAUACCCUGGUAGUCCAUGCCGUAAACGGUGGGCGCUAGGUGUAGGGGCCUUUUGGGGUUUCUGUGCCGUAGCUAACGCAUUAAGCGCCCCGCCUGGGGAGUACGGCCGCAAGGCUAAAACUCAAAGGAAUUGACGGGGGCCCGCACAAGCGGCGGAGCAUGUGGAUUAAUUCGAUGCAACGCGAAGAACCUUACCUGGGCUUGACAUACACCGGAUCGCUGCAGAGAUGUAGUUUCCCUUGUGGCUGGUGUACGGGUGAUGCAUGGAUGUCGUCAGCUCGUG